rnacentral:rRNA from 1 species
AUGAACGCUGGCGGCGUGCCUAAUACAUGCAAGUCGAGCGAACGGACGAGAAGCUUGCUUCUCUGAUGUUAGCGGCGGACGGGUGAGUAACACGUGGAUAACCUACCUAUAAGACUGGGAUAACUUCGGGAAACCGGAGCUAAUACCGGAUAAUAUUUUGAACCGCAUGGUUCAAAAGUGAAAGACGGUCUUGCUGUCACUUAUAGAUGGAUCCGCGCUGCAUUAGCUAGUUGGUAAGGUAACGGCUUACCAAGGCAACGAUGCAUAGCCGACCUGAGAGGGUGAUCGGCCACACUGGAACUGAGACACGGUCCAGACUCCUACGGGAGGCAGCAGUAGGGAAUCUUCCGCAAUGGGCGAAAGCCUGACGGAGCAACGCCGCGUGAGUGAUGAAGGUCUUCGGAUCGUAAAACUCUGUUAUUAGAGAAGAACAUAUGUGUAAGUAACUGUGCACAUCUUGACGGUACCUAAUCAGAAAGCCACGGCUAACUACGUG